CAGAGAGAGAGAGAGAGAGAGAGAGCUAGAUAGAGAGAGAGAGAGAGAGAGAUUUUGUAUGGUAUAAUGUAUGUAUGUAUGUAUGUAUGUAUGUAUGCAUGUACGUAUCUUUUUGUACGUAUGUGUUACCUGGAAUACGAUUGGAGAACGCAGUUUUCUUUGCUCGUAACUUAUGUAUGUAGGUGUGUGUAUGCGUGUACAUAUAUCUAUUAUCGAUGAUGUGUAUUUACCAGUAUAUUAGAUCAUAAGUAUUAUAAAAAAGAGAUUUAGAUUCGUAGAAACACGUUAUACGUCCUAAAUUUAUGUAGGUUUUAACAAUGAGGAGUAGUAUUAUUGCGCACGAAGAGUCUCAUGAUAAAAAUAAAAAGUGUACCUUUUACCUUGAAGCACGUGAAUGUGAACGUAUGAAAGAGAAAUAGAAAGAGAGAUAGAGAGAAAAAGAGAAAGAGAGGAAAAGAGAAAACGUUGCUUCGAUUUCCGGAUAUAAGAGAUAGUAAGAAGGUAUUACAGCAAUAUGAUAGGUGGAAAGCGAAGAACGUCAACGAUGUUUCCUUCCGAUUUAUCCAUAUUAUGUAUAUCCAGGUAAAAAGGGAGCAGUCACUUCGAAUGCAAAAGAGAGUAUUUAUUUGUAAAAUAAAUAAAUAAAUAUAUAUAUAUACACACACACACAUAUAUAUAUAUAUACACAUAUAAUAUGAAAUCGCUAUGUAAAUAUAACAUAGAGCUACUCGGUAUCGAGUCGAACUAAUUGUAAGAUAACUUAAUACAUUAAUACGUUCUCAAUAAAAGUCGAUUAUUUUUCGUUAA